AGCUCGUGUCGUGAGAUGUUCGGUUAAGUCCGCUAACGAGCGCAACCCUCGUCGUAAUGUUAUAUGUGUCAAUACGAGACUGCCGGUAAAAAGCCGGAGGAAGGUGAGGAUGAUGUCAAGUCAGCAUGACCUUUAUAUCCAGGGCUACACACACGCUACAAUGGUCUGUACAAUGGGUAGCCAAGCCGCGAGGCGGAGCCAAUCCUGAAAGCAGGCCUCAGUUCAGAUUGCAGUCUGCAACUCGACUGCAUGGAGCCGGAGUUGCUAGUAACCGCAGGUCAGCAAUACUGCGGUGAAUACGUUCCCGGGUCUU
rnacentral:rRNA from 1 species